rnacentral:lncRNA from 1 species
ACACAAAGAGCUCAGAGCCAACUGAUCCUGAUAUAAACUCCCCACCUAGAUAAGACAAAUUGUCCUAAAAAAAUCUACCCCUUAGAGGAUACUCAUACUUAGCUGUGACGGGGGUGGGUCACCCUUCUCCAUCUCCCCUUCUCUCUCUCUCCUCUCCAAGCUCUGUGCCCGCCUUACUUUUUCACUGACAGUUCCAGGCCUUGCCUUACCUUGUGCCUGCCCUCACCUGCACACAGACAUCAGCCCACAUGACAUCUUCAGUAUUAAGAACUGAGCUGUUCUCAUCAGCUGCAGCAGAGACAGUAUGUCAGUCAGUUCCGCCAUUUGUUCUGAUCGUGGCGGUUCAGGGCAUUGCACGUGUCAUGCAGCUGCCCUGUGGCUGAGCCCCCCACCCCCACCAAUUUUCUGUUGUUUCCCACAGACGUAAAUCCUGGUUUAUUUGCUGUUGACUGAGCAGGGGUCCCAACCCCACAUGCAGAGGAGAUGUUGUCUGUGUCUUACCUGCCUUUGCUGAAACACCGCUCUCUGUGUAGGACAUGGAUCCCCGGCUGAUUUCGUGGAAGGGGGGUGCAGUGUUGGCGUGUUUGGACACCACUCAGGAACUGUGGAUUUACCAGCGAGAGUGGCAACGCUUUGGUGUCCGAAUGCUACGGGAACGAGCUGCCUUUGUGUGGUGAAAACCACAACCAUGUCUCUGGACAUAAAGACUUAAAGAGUGUAUGUAUUUUAAGUUAUUGAGCUUGAAGCUUGAUUUUCCUAGAAUUAAAUUAAUUCAAUUUUAUGUGAAAGUAUG